AUGCCUACCUAGCCUGUUGUGUCAUUUUAUAUAUCUGACCUGUGUUUGCAACGCCUUGCAUCAUCACUGGUUAAUGGUUUGACAGCGUAAAGGGGUCGAAUCAUCACUUGUCGUCCAUACUACCGGCCCUAUUCAGCAGCCAGGGAUGGCAGCCGGUACGAUGUCAGGAGAAGCAACUAUGGACCGACGUCUCCUGGCUGCAGCCGCAUCUGGAGAUGCGGCAUCAAUGAAGCAACUGGCUCUUGAUCCAGGCGUGCUGCUGGGAACUACUCCACCGGGGAACACCUGCCUCCACGUCUCCUGCAUCCUGGAGCACGAGGAAUUCUGCAGGAGUAUCCUGACGCUGGACCAGUCUCCAGCACUCGUCUCCGCCGUCAACAAAGAUGGCGAGACGCCGCUCCUCGCCGCCGUGACAAGGGGCCAUGUCUCUGUAGCUUCUAUAUUACUCAGGUAUUGCCGUGAUCAGCAGCUGAGCCAAGUAAUCUUGAAGCAAGACAAGCGCGGAUUCAACGCGCUGCACCACGCCAUCCGCAGAGGACACACGAUGCUGGCGCUUGAGCUGAUAGAAGCAGAGCCGGCCUUGUCGAAAGCUGUCAACAAAAACGACGAGUCGCCCAUGUUCAUCGCAGCGAUGAGAAACAUCACAGAUGUGUGUGAAAAAUUGUUGGAGAUUCCGUAUUCAGCUCAUUCGGGAACCUGUGGCCUCAAUGCUCUCCAUGCUGCCGUCAGAAAUGGCAACCCAGUGAUAGCCAAAAGGAUUAUGGAAUUACGCCCUUGGCUAGUCAGACAACAAAACGAGAAUAAGUUUACUCCAAUGCACCUAGCUGUGAGCGAAAAAAGGAUUGACGUGCUAAAAGUAUUAUUGGAACAUGAUUCGUCAUUAGGGUACCUAAUCUCCCCACCUCUUCUUUGUGUCGCCGCAAUUGUGGGUGAUGUUGGUGUUGCUCGAGAGCUUCUUAAACAUUGUCCAGAUGCUCCCUACUGCGAUCCAAAGGGCAGCACAUGCCUUCACAUAGCAGUGUUGUGUGGACAUAUGGAGUAUGUAAAGUUUAUCCUGGGGUCACAGCAACUUGGGCAACUCGUUAACAUGCAAAAUAGCAGAGGAGAAACUGCUCUGCAUCUCGCAGCCAAAUUCAAGAAGGUGGAGAUGCUUUCUGCUUUAAGGCAUCGCCAAGAUAUGGACAUAACAGUGCUUAAUAGCGCCGGUAAAUCGGCAAACUGGGAAUUACUUCAUGCCACCAACCCCGCGAAGCCUUUAAUCUCGAUGGCAGACGAUAUAUCUUCCCCGCCAGAACCAUCAGGGGGGCUACCCGUUCACCAGGAAACCCUCUGAUGGACCUACGUCUCCUAGAAGCAGCAGCGUCUGGUGAUGCUGCAGAAAUGAAGCACAUGGCUGUGCAUGUCCCUGGCGUCCUGCAUGGGACAACCCCGCAAGGGAACACCUGCCUCCACAUCGCCUCCAUCCAUGGGCACGAGGAGUUCUGCAAGGAUGUCAUGUCGCUCAGCCAGUCUGUGCCUCUCCUGGCCGCCACCAAUGCCGACGGCGAGACGCCGCUGCUCGCAGCCGUAGCAAGCGGCCAUACAUCUUUGGCUUCAUCUAUUCUCAGGUGCUGCAUUGCUCAGCAGUUGAGCGACGCAAUCCUAAUGCAAGACAGGAACGGAUGCAAUGCGCUGCACCACGCCAUCCGCAGCGGCCACAGGGACCUCGCGCUGGAGCUGAUAGAGGCCGAGCCUUCACUGUCGCGUGCUGUAAACCAAUACGGCGAGUCGCCCAUGUUCAUCGCGGUGAUGAGAAAUCACGCGGAUGUCUUCGAGAAGCUGUUGGAGAUCCCUGAUUCUGCUCACGGGGGAGCGUAUGGUUACAAUGUUCUGCAUGCUGCUGUGAGAAGUGGCAAUACAGCCAUCGCAAAAAGGAUUAUGGAGACACGUCCCGGGCUGGCCAGAGAAGAAGACAAACAUAAGGCUACUCCAAUGCACCUGGCUGCGCACUGGGACAAGGUUGAGGUCCUGAGAGUGCUGCUCGAACAUGACUGGUCCUUAGGGUACGCAGUAUCCUCUAAGGGAUCCCCUGUUCUUAUUUCUGCGGCAGCGUCACGGGGAUAUGUUGGUAUUGCCAAAGAGCUUCUUAAGCAUUGUCCGGAUGCUCCCUGUCGCGUUGCAAACGACGAGACGACAUCGACAUGUCUUCAGCAAGCUGUAAUGCUUGGUCGUAUGGAGCUUCUAGAAUUCUUCCUUGAUUCAAAGUAUACUCGGAAACUAGUCAACGUGCGAGACGAAAAUGAAGAGACUCCUUUGCAUAACGCGGUAAGAAAGUGUGAUCCAAAGAUAGUCCAUGCUUUGCUACGAUGCCCGGACAUUGAUGUUACAGUGCUCAACAAAGUGGGUAACCCAGCAUCCUGGUUACUAGGUACUACCGCCCACCACGCCAAGACAUUAAACUGGAAUGAAGUGUCAAUGCUUAUGUUGAAAGCUGAUCCUCUACACGCACCUUCUAUUGGUAAUCUCCAUGAGCAAGUCAAGAAUAAAGUGACAGCCUCAUCAAGGAAGGAUAUUAAGUCACUGACUCAAACAUACACUGGCAACACUUCCCUAGUUGCCAUCCUCCUUGCCACUAUUACCUUUGCUGCUGCUUUCACUCUGCCUGGAGGAUAUAGCAGUGACUCCGGAAACGAGGGGCUUCCCAUCAUGGCAAGGAAGUUUGCUUUCCAGGCAUUCUUGCUCUCAGACACCUUGGCAAUGUGCUCCUCACUUGUUGUUGCCUUUGUGUGCAUCAUAGCAAGGUGGGAGGAUCUUGAGUUCUUACUUUACUACAGAUCUUUUACGAAGAAGCUUAUGUGGUUUGCAUACAUGGCUACCACCACAGCCUUCGCAACUGGUCUAUUCACUGUUCUUGCUCCUCAUCUCCUAUGGCUGGCCGUUACAAUCUGUGUUCUAACAUCUUUAUUGCCCAUUCUUACCAAGCUACUAGGAGAAUGGCCCAUCUUGGAACUGAGAUUCCGGUUGGGUCGGAAUUUCAAGUCUGAGCUCCUUAGUAUGAUCUAGCUUCAUCAGCUUCAAUUGUUGGGCCCAGCUGCUUUUCUAUAUUUUAAUACUCGAACAUAUUGUAUCUCUAUGUUGGGAUAAUAACAUUUUAUUUGGGCAAUUUGGAAUUCUAUGUAAAACCUGCACUAUGUACUUUGAACACUGAUUGCACCAUGUUUGUGCAGAUGAGUGGUACUGUUUUGUUUCCAGAUUGGACAUCUUACAA